CGUGGGGAACCUGCCCAAUAGUCUGGGAUACCACUUGGAAACAGGUGCUAAUACCGGAUAAGAAAGCAGAUCGCAUGAUCAGCUUUUAAAAGGCGGCGUAAGCUGUCGCUAUGGGAUGGCCCCGCGGUGCAUUAGCUAGUUGGUAAGGUAAAGGCUUACCAAGGCGAUGAUGCAUAGCCGAGUUGAGAGACUGAUCGGCCACAUUGGGACUGAGACACGGCCCAAACUCCUACGGGAGGCAGCAGGA
rnacentral:rRNA from 1 species